UAAUGAAAUUACUUGCAGCACAUGACCAGGACCAAUGAUGCCUGAGGGAUGACUGAUUGCUUGACCAAUCACUGACCAGUAAUUAUUUUCACCUGUGUUGGACACACAUUUGUUCAUCUCCCCCAGACCAUUUUCGAUUCUUUUACAACAUGAGGCCUUAACGUUACCUGCUUCUUCUCACGAACUCUCACCAUAACCAGAAAUAUCUACACACGGCAAGGGCUGCCGAAGGGAGAUGCCAACCGUUACCGCUUCGCGACAACACCCCGGGAUCCGGAGAUGUAGAGAAAUAUCCGGGGUCAUCUACGAGACGACCGUGGCGUUUUAUACGCGAGGCGAGGCAGCUAAUUCGAGCCCGUCUCUUUUCAUCUCCAAUCGAUCGGUAUCGGAGGCAAGGGCUGCGAAGGGGGAGGCCAAGGCUCACCGUAGCGCGGGUGCUACACGACACAUUCCGGAAGACGUCGGCAGAAUCUCCGGGUUCAUCUUUGAGGAGAUCCGAGGUGUUCAAACAGCAGGUGGGCGCCUUGGUCUUCCCCAGACAUUUGAAAAGGCAAUGAAGCUGUACAUGUAGUGGUAGCACGCAUCAUGAAAAAGAAUGUCAUUGUCAAGCACGGCGGAGCUGGACAUGUACACGUGUGUCUGUGGGCCAGGGUACACCGGGCACAACUGCUCUGUUGGAAUAGGAGGAAACAACGGUUUGGGUGUGGGUGCCAUUGUAGGUAUUGUUCUCGGGAUCCUGUGCUUCCUGUUACUGCUGGCAACACUUGUCUACUGCUUGAAAAGGAGAUGAAUGGAUGCCUAGAACUCAAAUCCAGACAGAGAUGGCAUCCGAAGCAGCUGGCGAAGAACACGCUCAAUAGCAGUCGGUGCAAAUAGCCCCAGCCCCAGAAUCAGUCGGGGAAACGUCAAAUCACCAUGGCGGUGAACUGGUAAUGGCUUGCUCUACCAAACUGAGGGUUAUGCAAAUUACAUGAACAUGUCUGUCACGGAUUACCGUUGACUGUUCUUUUACAUACCAUAUGGUACCAUAGUGAUAUGUACAUUCUAACCUUAAACCAACCAUAUGGGUACGUCAUCAAUAUGUACCAUACCAACAUUUUUCUUCAGAGAAAAAAAUUCUACGAAUUUGUUUGUAUCUAUAUCUUUAAUACUUUUUACCGAUAUUUGCCCAUUGCUGUAGACGUUAUCUUGAAAUGUUUUGUGUGGCGCUGUGGGGUCCAAACGUAGCAUAUCGUCUUUCCCAAAGCCGUUAGUAACAAUCACGGAUCUUAAGGGAAUCAUUUAGCCACGAAAACAUAACAAUGUAAAAAUAAAUGUAAAACAUGUAUAAAGAUUGUUACAUUCUGUAUAGAGUAGCAGUAAAGUCAAUGUUCUCUAA